CUUGUAGCUGGGGUGGCCAUGUGACCCAGUUCUGGCCAUUAAGAUGCCUUACAGGUCCCUGGAAGGGCUUCCCUUUUGGAAUAAGAAGUUGAUGCCUUUAGGACUUUUCUGUCUUCCCUCCUGGGACAAGGCACACAGUGUCUGGAGUUGGUGCAGCCAUUUUUGCAACCAUAAGACAAUAACUAUGAACACCAGACCAACUGGUUAGUAUGGCAAGGCAGAAAGAAGAAAGAGCUGGAUCCUCAGGGUAUCACACAGCCAUGUGUCAGCCCUGUGUGGCCUACCCAAGACUUCUGUGGCUCAGACAAGCCAGCCCCUCUCUAUUAGUUGGCUUUUUAGUUGCAUGCAGCCAAACCUGAUCCUAAGUCCUACCUACCUAAGUCCUAAAAAAGAUAAAAAGUUUCAUCAAAAAAGAAAAAAAGUCACCAUGAAACAAAACUUUAAAACAAAUGACAAACCCAGGGAAAUCUUUACAGUAAGUUUGACACAGGGGUAAUGUCUCCAACACAUUAAUAUCCAAAGCUUUUAUAAAUUGAAAAAAAAAAAAAAGCUAUAAGCAACCCAUAGAAAAAUAAAGAGCAUGGAUAGCUUACAAAAGAAGAACUGCAAAUUUAAGAAACUGAAACCUCACCGGGAUCAAUGGAGUGCACAUAAAACAAUAAUGUGCCACUGCUUUUUACCUAUCAAUUGGGUUGGCGGAGACUUCUAAAUUACAAACUGGCAAAUUGGCGUGAUCUUUCUGGAAAGCGGUUCAGUUGUAAUACGUUCAUUCCUUUGGCCCUGUAAGUCUGCUUCUAGGAAUCUGCCCUAAGGUAAUAGCCAGAAUUUCAGUUGGGUUAUGGGAGAGGAGUCCAUUAUGAUAUUAUAAAAGUAAAAAGUUAGACUUGUGCCAAAUGGCCAAUCAGAAGAGACUGGCUUGGUGAAUUUGGGCACACACGCAAACUCAAGUAUUUCGCAGCUGUAUGGGAGUUUUAACUAAGAGGUCAGGAGAGUCCAGCAGUGAAUGUUCGGGCCUUGGGGUCACUAGAGUUCAAGUCUGACUCAUCACUUAAGACUGAGGCCUCCAGCAACCCAUGACCCAUCUGGAGACCAUUUCCUCAUCUGUAGAACGGUAACAAAACUCACCUAAAGAUACAAGAUAAUGUGUGUAAAGGGUUUAGUCCAGACCUAGCCAAAAAAUUCUUCCAAAUGGGAGGCUUAAUAUUCUUGAAUGGGAGAUGCUGGACUCAAAAUUCCAGCCCAAUGCCAAUUUUAUAGAAGAAAAAGUAUGAAUAUAUGCAUUUUUUGUAAAACUCAAAGGAAACACGCCAGAUUGUUAAAGAUGGUUAUGUCU
rnacentral:lncRNA from 1 species